UGCGUAUGGGGCAAGCGUUAUCCGGAUUUACUGGGUGUAAAGGGAGCGUAGGCGGCAGGGCAAGCCUGAUGUGAAAGCCCGGGGCUCAACCCCGGGACUGCAUUGGGAACUGCCCUGCUGGAGUGCCGGAGGGGCAGGCGGAAUUCCUAGUGUAGCGGUGAAAUGCGUAGAUAUUAGGAGGAACACCAGUGGCGAAGGCGGCCUGCUGGACGGUGACUGACGCUGAGGCUCGAAAGCGUGGGGAGCAAACAGG
rnacentral:rRNA from 1 species